rnacentral:rRNA from 1 species
CUUGGUCAUUUAGAGGAAGUAAAAGUCGUAACAAGGUUUCCGUAGGUGAACCUGCGGAAGGAUCAUUACCAAAGUUUUUAUUUAUAAAAACAUACCAAUCCGAUUGGAAAAGUGUUAGGGAAAGACUGGCUUGAAGUAGUAGGAAGAAUGGGUUUUAUUACCCAGACAACAUACUAUUUCAGACUUGUUUUUCUUUUCCACUUUGAAGAUUGAAGUUUAAAAUAUUAGCAAUAAUAUUUCACCUAUUACUUUCGGGGAGUAGGAAGAGCUAUAGUGGGUAUAAUAUAGUAGGGAAGAUCUGGCUAAUUUUGGGAAAGGAACUGCCCAAGAAAACCAGUUUAACCAAACUAUAAUAUAUUCACUUCUUCUUACACCCCGGCUUUCUUGUGUGGGAUUGGGACUGUAAUUACCCCCAUAGUCCUGGUCAUUUUAACCACACAAGUGUUAACCAAAACCACUACUAAACUUGACUAAACUAAAACUCAAUAUUUUACCCAGGAUCAACUAUAUUUAUAUAGGAAAUUUUGGGUAAAUAUAUUAUACACACACAACUAUUAACAGUGGAUCCCUAGGCUCUUGCAUCGAUGAAGAACGUAGCGAAUUGCGAAAAUUUUGCGACUUGCAUUAUCGUGAACCAUCGAAUCUUUGAACGCAUAUUGCACCCUGUACUUUGUACAGGGUAUACCUGUUUGAGCAUCAGUUUAACUAAACACCACAACCAGAGUCCCUGUUUUGGCAGGAACUUGUGGGUUGGACUUGGGCAUUUCGUUUAAUAAAUUUGAUAAUUAUGUACCGAGCUUUACUUGGAACUCUUUUGCCAGAAAGUUCUCUCUAUAUUAGUAGGGCGCCCUAUUAAUAUAGAGAGAAAAUAAAGCGGGAAAGUUUAGGGAAAAGUAAGGUACCUAAUUAUCAAAUUUAUAUGGGCGAUUGCUUUAAAUUUCUGGUGAAAAUAAUAGUGGGGUCAUAUUCUUUGUAUAGUCAGAGCUAUAGAGUAAUAUAGAGGCGUUCCAAGCCAGUCUUAAUGGAAAUUUCCCCUUGCUUGAGACAGAGAGCUAUAGAGAAUCAUGUCUAGAUUUAUAUUAUAUAAUUUCGUUGGGCUUUGUCUCAUCUUUUAUAUAAUAGCGCAAAUAAAUCCUGAUAAAAUGCAUACUCUGGUUCACUGUUUAGAGGGAAAGUAGCCAGGAAGAUACUGGGUUGGAUUAGUAUGCCCAGAUAUUUGCAAAGUUUCUAUAGUAAUGAUUAUAUCUAUUCUGUUUUUAUGCAGAGGGAAGAUUAUGAUACUACAAUUUUCAGGCCAAAGUAGUCUAAAUGUUAUAGGGGUAACUCUUGACAUUAUAAAUUUACUGAGGUUAAUCCAGACCCAAAAAUGGCAUGCAAUACAUUAUUAUUGCAAUAGACUUUUAUAAGUCUAUAUAAACAUUUGAUCUCAAAUCAGGUAAGGCUACCCGCUGAUUUAAGCAUAUUAAUAAGCGGAGGAAAAGAAAAUAACUAUGAUUCCCCUAGUAACGGCGAGUGAAGCGGGAAAAGCUCAAGGUUUUAAUCUCCAAGGCCCCUUUGUUUGCCUUGGCGAGGUGUAACCUAUGAAUUAUGGAUUUUAUGGUCAGUAGGGCUUAAAUAUGACUGAAACUAGUUGAAUCUAGUACCAUUGAGGGUGAAAGUCCCGUUAAUAGUCAUAUUUAGCUCUGCUAUUGUACCCCAUUUUUCUAGAGUCGGGUUGUUUGGGAAUGCAGCCCUAAAUUGGAGGUAAAUUUCUCCUAAAGCUAAAUAUAUGCAAGAGACCGAUAGCACACAAGUACCGUGAGGGAAAGGUGAAAAGUACUCUGGAGAGAGAGUGAAAAGUACGUGAAACUGUUAGUAGGGAAACGUUUGCACAGCACACUUGCUUGCAGGUAGUUUAGGCUAUCUGUGGCAGCCUUACAGCAAUUUCCCCUGCUCGAUAAAACCCACUGGAAGGUAGGGAGUCUUCUAGUCAGUUAGCCACUUUAUUGGGGUUUUCUGGCCAGGCUUCUGUUUAUAGCCAGUGGGAAUAAUAGAGUGGGUAGGAGAUUGAGGACUGCUAAGCAGCUAUAACCUUUUGGUUGUGGCACUGUCCCGCCUUAUCUCCCAAGUAUAAACCUCUGGCUUGACAUUUUUAUGACAGCCGGGGGGAUAACAGCAAGCUGGCUUUGGAUGAGGGGUAAAUGGAACAAAUGCUUAAUGGAUGUAGGGAAGUGUUGAACAAUCGACCCGUCUUGAAACACGGACCAAGGAGUCUAACACUAGUGCAAGUUGUUGGGAUUUUAUUAAACCCAUAGGCGUAAUGAAAGUGAGGAGUGUUUUAUCGCACUUACUGGUACCAAUCUUCCCAAGAAAUUGGAGAGAUGCAGUACCCUCCAACCAGGAAAAGUUUACUUUGACUGGGUUGAGAGUGAGCACUUGUGUUAGGACCCGAAAGAUGGUGAACUAUACUUGAAUAGGGUGAAGCCAGGGGAAACCCUGGUGGAAGCUCGUAGCGAUUCUGACGUGCAAAUCGAUCGUAAAAUUUGAGUAUAGGGGCGAAAGACUAAUCGAACUAUCUAGUAGCUGGUUCCUGCCGAAGUUUCCCUCAGGA